UACGGGAGGCAGCAGGGGGAAUAUUGCACAAUGGGCGCAAGCCUGAUGCAGCCAUGCCGCGUGUAUGAAAAAGGCCUUCGGGUUGUAAAGUACUUUCAGUCGUGAGGAAGGUGUUAAGGUUAAUAACCUUAGCAAUUGACGUUAGCGACAGAAGAAGCACCGGCUAACUCCGUGCCAGCAGCCGCGGUAAUACGGAGGGUGCGAGCGUUAAUCGGAAUUACUGGGCGUAAAGGGCACGCAGGCGGUUAAUUAAGUUGGAUGUGAAAUCCCCGGGCUUAACCUGGGAAUGGCAUUCAAGACUGGUUAGCUAGAGUCUUGUAGAGGGGGUAGAAUUCCAUGUGUAGCGGUGAAAUGCGUAGAGAUGUGGAGGAAUACCGGUGGCGAAGGCGGCCCCUGGACAAAGACUGACGCUCAUGUGCGAAAGCGUGGGGAGCAAACAGGGAUUUAGAUACC
rnacentral:rRNA from 1 species